GGUUGUGUAGUGUAGUGGUCAUCACUUCAGAUUUUGAAACAAGCAAUUCGCUUUCCCAUCUUCUGAUAACCCCGGUUCGAACCCGGGCACGACCU